UUGAUCCCUGGCUCAGAUUGAACGCUGGCGGCAGGCCUAACACAUGCAAGUCGAGCGGUAGAGAGAAGCUUGCUUCUCUUGAGAGCGGCGGACGGGUGAGUAAUGCCUAGGAAUCUGCCUGGUAGUGGGGGAUAACGCUCGGAAACGGACGCUAAUACCGCAUACGUCCUACGGGAGAAAGCAGGGGACCUUCGGGCCUUGCGCUAUCAGAUGAGCCUAGGUCGGAUUAGCUAGUUGGUGAGGUAAUGGCUCACCAAGGCGACGAUCCGUAACUGGUCUGAGAGGAUGAUCAGUCACACUGGAACUGAGACACGGUCCAGACUCCUACGGGAGGCAGCAGUGGGGAAUAUUGGACAAUGGGCGAAAGCCUGAUCCAGCCAUGCCGCGUGUGUGAAGAAGGUCUUCGGAUUGUAAAGCACUUUAAGUUGGGAGGAAGGGCAGUAAAUUAAUACUUUGCUGUUUUGACGUUACCGACAGAAUAAGCACCGGCUAACU
rnacentral:rRNA from 1 species